rnacentral:rRNA from 1 species
UGGGGAAUAUUGCACAAUGGGGGAAACCCUGAUGCAGCGACGCCGCGUGAACGAAGAAGGUAUUCGUAUCGUAAAGCUCUGUCCUAUGGGAAGAUAAUGACAGUACCAUAGAAGAAAGCUCCGGCUAAAUACGUGCCAGCAGCCGCGGUAAUACGUAUGGAGCGAGCGUUGUCCGGAAUUAUUGGGCGUAAAGGGUACGCAGGCGGUUUAAUAAGUCGAAUGUUAAAGAUCGGGGCUCAACCCCGCAAAGCAUUGGAAACUGAUAAACUUGAGUAGUGGUGAGGAAAGUGGAAUUCCUAGUGUAGUGGUGAAAUACGUAGAUAUUAGGAGGAAUACCAGUAGCGAAGGCGACUUUCUGGACACAAACUGACGCUGAGGUACGAAAGCGUGGGGAGCAAACAGG